CAAGCGUUAAUCGGAAUUACUGGGCGUAAAGCGUGCGCAGGCGGCUUUGCAAGACAGAUGUGAAAUCCCCGGGCUUAACCUGGGAACUGCAUUUAUGACUGCAUGGCUGGAGUGCGGCAGAGGGGGAUGGAAUUCCGCGUGUAGCAGUGAAAUGCGUAGAUAUGCGGAGGAACACCGAUGGCGAAGGCAAUCCCCUGGGCCUGCACUGACGCUCAUGCACGAAAGCGUGGGGAGCAAACAGG
rnacentral:rRNA from 1 species